CCCGACUCCAUGAAGCUGGAUUCGCUAGUAAUCGCGCAUCAGCCACGGCGCGGUGAAUACGUUCCCGGGCCUUGUACACACCGCCCGUCAAGCCAUGGGAGCCGGGGGCGCCUGAAGUCCGGGACCGCGAGGACCGGCCUAGGGCGAAACUGGUAACUGGGGCUAAGUCGUAACAAGGUAAC
rnacentral:rRNA from 1 species